CGAACUUAACCAGAAUGAAGCAAAGAUAAUUAAUCAUUAUAUUCUUUGUCUUCAUAUUCAAAAUUCAUCAUUCUAAGAGUUCAUCCCCAUCCUUUACCCGAAAAUCUAUUAAUAAGCUUAAGUCUCCCUCUUUCAAUUUCUUCUAAACCUUUUUUAUUUUAUUACUUUGAAUUUCUGACUUUUUAUUCUUACUUGUUACUAUUUAGGGUUUAGUGAAAUGUGUUAAGGUUUUCCCAAUGCUAUCAAGCAAUAGCGUAACUAGG
rnacentral:lncRNA from 1 species